GCGCCAUUAGUUUAACGGUUAGAACCUUAGUUUUCCAAACUAAUAGUGGCGUUUCGACUACGCCAUGGCGCUCCA
rnacentral:tRNA from 1 species